GGCCUGGUGGCCUAAUGGUAAGGCGUUGCUUUCCGGUCUGAUGUCACCAUGUCAGGGACUGGCAAAGAUUGCGGGUUCGAGUCCCGUCUGGGUCG
rnacentral:tRNA from 2 species